rnacentral:lncRNA from 1 species
UGCAUACUUAUUUAGGAACUGUCAGGAAUACAAAUGUUCGCUUAUUCACCUAACAUACAUGUUAACAUUGUCAACAUUUUGUUGACAACCCACUUGGUUCUUGUGUACUUGCUAGAGAUGAGAGUUAAAGUUCUAAAUUUGAUCAGUCUGUAAAUAUCUGAAAAGAAGGUCAGUAAGGCCAUUUAUAGUGUAUGGAGGAAACCUCAGUCUACUGGAGCAGACUUUGUCUGUCAGGAAGCACAGAUCCAGAGCAACGCUCGUAAAUAGAUGUGCAGUCAUGAGGGAGUACAGCUCAGCAGGGUGUGGCCUGGCAAGGGGCCCUCUGGGGUCUGCAUCCACCCCGCUGACACAAGCCAUGUGCAGAGGGUACUGACUUGGAAAAGGAGGACUCAGCCGAUCGUCCAUUUCCUUGAAGGACUUUCCCCAAUGCCGCACAGUAAACAAAAAAUGAACCAAUAAGGGCCAGGGAUAUGGCUCAGUGGUGCCGCCUCCUGCUUCACAAGCACAAGGACUCUAGUUGGAUCCCCAGUACCAACCCCCCCACCAAAAAAAAACAAAUAGAACUUAUAUGAAAAGAGAACAAGCCAUAUGUCAUUGCCUAUUCCUGCAAUUCCAGCGCUCUGAAAGGCUGAGGUGAGAGGACUACAAGUUUGAGCCCAUUCUGGGCAAUUGGUGAGUACCUCACUAAAAUUAACUAACUAACUAACAAACUAACUAACUAAAUGCCUGAGG